UACGUAGGGGGCAAGCGUUGUCCGGAAUCAUUGGGCGUAAAGAGCGUGUAGGCGGCUCGAUAAGUCUGCUGUGAAAGUCCAGGGCUCAACCCUGGAAGGCCGGUGGAAACUGUCGGGCUAGAGUCCGGAAGAGGCGAGUGGAAUUCCUGGUGUAGCGGUGGAGUGCGCAGAUAUCAGGAGGAACACCCAUAGCGAAGGCAGCUCGCUGGGACGGUACUGACGCUAAGGCGCGAAAGCGUGGGGAGCGAACAGG
rnacentral:rRNA from 1 species